rnacentral:pre_miRNA from 1 species
AAUGAAAUUGCUGAGUCAUGAUAACUCUGUUUAAUUGUUUGAGGAACUGCCAGAUUGUUUUCCAAAGUGUUUGCACCAUUUUACAUUUCUAGUAGCAAU